GAUGAACGCUGGCGGCGUGCCUAAUACAUGCAAGUCGAGCGAACGGACGAGAAGCUUGCUUUUCUGAUGUUAGCGGCGGACGAGUGAGUAACACGUGGAUAACCUACCUAUAAGACUGGGAUAACUUCGGGAAACCGGAGCUAAUACCGGAUAAUAUUUUGAACCGCAUGGUUCAAAAGUGAAAGACGGUCUUGCUGUCACUUAUAGAUGGAUCCGCGCUGCAUUAGCUAGUUGGUAAGGUAACGGCUUACCAAGGCAACGAUGCAUAGCCGACCUGAGAGGGUGAUCGGCCACACUGGAACUGAGACACGGUCCAGACUCCUACGGGAGGCAGCAGUAGGGAAUCUUCCGCAAAGGGCGAAAGCCUGACGGAGCAACGCCGCGUGAGUGAUGAAGGUCUUCGGAUCGUAAAACUCUGUUAUUAGGGAAGAACAUAUGUGUAAGUAACUGUGCACAUCUUGACGGUACCUAAUCAGAAAGCCACGGCUAACUACGUG
rnacentral:rRNA from 1 species